CAGCAGCCGCGGGAAAACGUAGGGUGCAAGCGUUAAUCGGAAUUACUGGGCGUAAAGCGUGCGCAGGCGGUUAUAUAAGACAGAUGUGAAAUCCCCGGGCUCAACCUGGGAACUGCAUUUGUGACUGUAUAGCUAGAGUACGGCAGAGGGGGAUGGAAUUCCGCGUGUAGCAGUGAAAUGCGUAGAUAUGCGGAGGAACACCGAUGGCGAAGGCAAUCCCCUGGGCCUGUACUGACGCUCAUGCACGAAAGCGUGGGGAGCAAACAGGAUUAGAUACCCCCGUAGUCCCUGUCUCUUAUAC
rnacentral:rRNA from 1 species